AUGGCAACCAGUAAUCUCCUCGCCACGAGCAACGCCGUCAAAUUGAAUGGUGUCAGCUUCUUCUCCUAUUUUACCGGCAAACCUAACCGCUACUUGGCUCGUUGUUGGUCGCAGAUUACUAGUACCCCUAGAGUCCAAACUUCGUGUUGUUAUCGUCAGACGUCUUUGAAAGCUGCGACGUCGUCAAUGAAACCUAAGGUAGAAUCAGGUCCUAACAGUGACGGAAUUGGAAUCGUCCGUUUCUUAAGAGGAAAAAGCUAUCUCGUUACUGGUGCAACAGGGUUUCCUGCCAAAGUGUUGAUUGAGAAAUUGUUGAGGGAAAGUCCUGAGAUUGGGAAGAUCUUCCUUCUGAUGAGAUCCAAGGAUCAAGAUUCAGCAAACAAGAGACUCUAGGAUGAGAUCAUAAGCUCGGAUCUGUUCAAGCUUCUGAAGCAGAUGCACGGGAGCUCUUAUGAAGCUUUCAUGAAGACCAAGUUAAUUCCAGUAAUUGGAGACAUUGGAGAAGACAAUCUAGGGAUCGAACCUUUAAUAGCAGACAUGAUUGAUUAGUGGGGAGAUUGAUGUCAUUAUCAGUUGUGGUGGUCGUACAACAUUCGACGACAGGUGUGUUCCUCUGCGGAAACAGAUACGACUCUGCCCUAAAUGUCAAUGCUCUUGGACCUGAUAGGCUCUUAAGCUUCGGAAAAGAAUGCAAAAAUUUGAAACUUUUCCUCCAUUUUUCAACUGCUUACGUGACUGGCAAGAAAGAGGGGACAGUACUAGAGACUCCUCUCUGUAUCGGAGAAAACAUAACUUCUGACUUGAACAUCGAAUCAGAGCUAAAACUAGCUUUCGAAGCUGUAAAAAAGUUCCAUGGCUGCGAAGAAAACAAGAAACUGAAAGAACUCGGCUUUGAAAGGUGACAAUGCACGUGAAAUAAUAUGUCUGUUAUGUUAUGAGAAACAGAGCUCAACACUAUGGGUGGGAAAACAGUUACACAUUCACAAAAGCCAUAGGGGAGACUAUAAUUAACAGCAAUCGAGGAGAUUUUCCUGUACUGAUCAUAAGGCCUAGUAUUAUCGAAAGCUCUUACAAGGAGCCUUCCCCUGGCUGGAUCCAAGGAUUAAGGUUUAAAAAUUGU